GAGUCAUUGGGACUCUGUUAAACCUAAAGGCGUAAUGAAAGUAAAGGUCCGCCUCGCGCGGACCGAGGGAGGAUGGGCCCGUCCACGGGCGGGCCCCGCACUCCCGGGGCGUCUCGUUCUCAUCGCGAGAAGAGGCGCACCCAGAGCGUACACGCUGGGACCCGAAAGAUGGUGAACUAUGCCUGGUCAGGACGAAGUCAGGGGAAACCCUGAUGGAGGUCCGUAGCGAUUCUGACGUGCAAAUCGAUCGUCGGAACUGGGUAUAGG
rnacentral:rRNA from 1 species